UACGUAGGGUGCGAGCGUUAAUCGGAAUUACUGGGCGUAAAGCGUGCGCAGGCGGUUCGUUGUGUCUGAUGUGAAAGCCCCGGGCUUAACCUGGGAAUGGCAUUGGAAACUGGCGAGCUGGAGUGUGGCAGAGGGGGGUGGAAUUCCGCGUGUAGCAGUGAAAUGCGCAGAUAUCAGGAGGAACACCAAUGGCGAAGGCAGCACUCUGGGACGGUACUGACGCUGAGACGCGAAAGCGUGGGGAGCAAACAGG
rnacentral:rRNA from 1 species